AAGAUCACUUUUUCAAAGUUUCAUCCUCUGGACUCCUUGCUUUCUUCCAUAAAACCCAUCCAAAGGCCCUGCUGGGCUACUGACAGCUCACUAUCCCUGCAUGUCAACUCUUUACCUGUGAACAAUUAUGCAAGCACAGCCCUCCUCAGUUCCCUGAAGACCUGAAUGAAGCCAGGGUCUCAGGUGUGAGGUCAUAGAUCGGAGUAAGAACCAACUUUUUCUUAUUAGUUUUGUGACACUAGAAAAGUUAUUGUGGGUUUUGGGGCCUUUCGACCUGUACAGUGGGUAACAUGCCAGCAUCUCCUUUUUUAGGGUAUCUCCUUCCUCAUCAGUGACAGCAAUCAGAGCACGAUUAUGAAGUAGACUGGACAUAAGCACCACAUUUUGGGUGUCACUGUCUCCCAUCACCCCCUAAUGGAACUGUCUAGUUGCAGGAAAACAAGCUCAGCGCUCCCACUGAUUCUACAUUAUGGUUGGAUGUUAACCUGAUGUGGUGCUCUUGGAGAAGCUUGCCUGAGUUAGGCACUUUCUCAG
rnacentral:lncRNA from 1 species